rnacentral:rRNA from 1 species
GACGAACGCUGGCGGCGUGCUUAACACAUGCAAGUCGAACGCGCCUGUCCUCUGGGUUCCUGGGGGGUGGGUGAGUGGCGAACGGGUGAGUAACACGUGAGUAACCUGCCCCCUUCUUCGGGAUAACGGUCUGAAAGGGCUGCUAAUACCGGGUAUUCACUGGUCUCCGCAUGGGGUCUGGUGGAAAGGUUUUUUUCUGGUGGGGGAUGGGCUCGCAGCCUAUCAGCCUGUUGGUGGGGUGAUGGCCCACCAAGGCCUUGACGGGUAGCCGGCCUGAGAGGGUAAACGGUAACAGUGGGACUGAGAUGCGGCCCAGGCUCCUACGGGGGGGAGAAGUGGGGAAUAUUGCACAAUGGGCGAAGGCCUGAUGCAGCGACGCCGCGGAAGGGAUGGAGGCCUUCGGGUUGUGAACCUCUUUCGCCCGUGGUCAAGCCGCGACGUGGGUCGUGGUGAGGGUAGUGGGUAAAGAAGCGCCGGCUAACUACGUG